rnacentral:rRNA from 1 species
AUUGAACGCUGGCGGCAGGCUUAACACAUGCAAGUCGAGCGGGGUGAUGGUGCUCGCACUAUCACUUAGCGGCGGACGGGUGAGUAAUGCUUAGGAAUCUGCCUAUUAGUGGGGGACAACAUCUCGAAAGGGAUGCUAAUACCGCAUACGUCCUACGGGAGAAAGCAGGGGAUCACUUGUGACCUUGCGCUAAUAGAUGAGCCUAAGUCGGAUUAGCUAGUUGGUGGGGUAAAGGCCUACCAAGGCGACGAUCUGUAGCGGGUCUGAGAGGAUGAUCCGCCACACUGGGACGGAGACACGGCCCAGACUCCUACGGGAGGCAGCAGUGGGGAAUAUUGGACAAUGGGGGGAACCCUGAUCCAGCCAUGCCGCGUGUGUGAAGAAGGCCUUAUGGUUGUAAAGCACUUUAAGCGAGGAGGAGGCUCUUUUGGUUAAUACCCAAGAUGAGUGGACGUUACUCGCAGAAUAAGCACCGGCUAACUCUGUGCCAGCAGCCGCCGUAA